rnacentral:rRNA from 1 species
ACGGCUCAGUAACRCGUAGUCAAUCUGCCCUAUGGACGUGGAUAACCUCGGGAAACUGAGAAUAAUCCGCGAUAGAUCAUAAUGCCUGGAACGGUUUAUGGUCCAAAUGAUUCGUCGCCAUAGGAUGGGACUGCGGCCUAUCAGCUUGUUGGUGAGGUAAUGGCCCACCAAGGCUAUUACAGGUACGGGCUCUGAGAGGAGAAGCCCGGAGAUGGGUACUGAGACACGGACCCAGGCCCUAUGGGGCGCAGCAGGCGAGAAACCUUUGCAAUGUGCGCAAGCACGACAAGGUUAAUCCGAGUGUUUCCUGCUAAAGGAAUCUUUUGUUAGUUCUAAAACCACUGAUGAAUAAGGGGUGGGCAAGUUCUGGUGUCAGCCGCCGCGGUAAAACCAGCACCUCAAGUGGUCAGGAGGAUUAUUGGGCCUAAAGCAUCCGUAGCCGGCUCUGUAAGUUUCCGGUUAAAUCCACUAGCUCAACUAAUGGGCUGCCGGAAAUACUGCAGAACUAGGGAGUGGGAGAGGUAGACGGUACUCGGGAGGAAGGGGUAAAAUCCUUUGAUCUCUUGAUGACCACCUGUGGCGAAGGCGGUCUACCAGAACACGUUCGACGGUGAGGGAUGAAAGCUGGGGGAGCAAACCGGAUUAGAUACCCGGGUAGUCCCAGCUGUAAACGAUGCAGACUCGGUGAUGCACUGGCUUUUGGCCAGUGCAGUGCCGCAGGGAAGCCGUUAAGUUUGCCGCCUGGGAAGUACGUACGCAAGUAUGAAACUUAAAGGAAUUGGCGGGGGAGCAC